rnacentral:rRNA from 1 species
GAUGAACGCUGGCGGCGUGCCUAAUACAUGCAAGUCGAGCGAACGGACGAGAAGCUUGCUUCUCUGAUGUUAGCGGCGGACGGGUGAGUAACACGUGGAUAACCUACCUAUAAGACUGGGAUAACUUCGGGAAACCGUAGCUAAUACCGGAUAAUAUUUUGAACCGCAUGGUUCAAAAGUGAAAGACGGUCUUGCUGUCACUUAUAGAUGGAUCCGCGGUGCAUUAGCUAGUUGGUAAGGUAACGGCUUACCAAGGCAACGAUGCAUAGCCGACCUGAGAGGGUGAUCGGCCACACUGGAACUGAGAAACGGUCCAGACUCCUACGGGAGGCAGCAGUAGGGAAUCUUCCGCAAUGGGCGAAAGCCUGACGGAGCAACGCCGCGUGAGUGAUGAAGGUCUUCGGAUCGUAAAACUCUGUUAUUAGGGAAGAACAUAUGUGUAAGUAACUGUGCACAGCUUGACGGUACCUAAUCAGAAAGCCACGGCUAACUACGUG